rnacentral:rRNA from 1 species
CAGCCGCCGCGGAAGACGGAGGAUGCAUGUGUUAUCCGGAAUUACUGGGCGUAAAGCGUCUGUAGGUGGUUUAAUAAGUCAACUGUUAAAUCUUGAGGCUUAACUUCAAAACAGCAGUCGAAACUAUUAGACUAGAGUAUAGUUAGGGGUAAAGGGAAUUUCCAGUGGAGCGGUGAAAUGCGUAGAUAUUGGAAAGAACACCGAUGGCGAAAGCACUUUACUGGGCUAUUACUAACACUCAGAGACGAAAGUUAGGGUAGCAAAUGGGAUUAGAUACCCCAGUAGUCCUAGCUUGUAAACAAGUGGAUACUAGAUGUUGAACAGAUCGACCUGUGCAGUAUUAAAGC